CAGUAAGUAGUUUAAUUAAAAUGUUAAUUUUGGGGAUUAACGAUGAGCGUAUGCUUCUUUCUGA
rnacentral:tRNA from 1 species